CAACCUGCCCACCACUUGGGGAUAACCUUGCGAAAGUAAGACUAAUACCCAAUGAUAUCUCUAGAAGACAUCUGAAAGAGAUUAAAGAUUUAUCGGUGAUGGAUGGGGAUGCGUCUGAUUAGCUUGUUGGCGGGGUAACGGCCCACCAAGGCAACGAUCAGUAGGGGUUCUGAGAGGAAGGUCCCCCACAUUGGAACUGAGACACGGUCCAAACUCCUACGGGAGGCAGCAGUGAGGAAUAUUGGUCAAUGGGCGAGAGCCUGAACCAGCCAAGUAGCGUGCAGGAUGACGGCCCUAUGGGUUGUAAACUGCUUUUAUAAGGGAAUAAAGUGAGAGUCGUAACUCUUUUUGCAUGUACCUUAUGAAUAAGGACCGGCUAAUUCCGUGCCAGCAGCCGCGGUAAUACGGAAGGUCCGGGCGUUAUCCGGAUUUAUUGGGUUUAAAGGGAGCGUAGGCCGGAGAUUAAGCGUGUUGUGAAAUGUAGACGCUCAACGUCUGCACUGCAGCGCGAACUGGUUUCCUUGAGUACGCACAAAGUGGGCGGAAUUCGUGGUGUAGCGGUGAAACGCUUAGAUAUCACGAAGAACUCCGAUUG
rnacentral:rRNA from 1 species